rnacentral:rRNA from 1 species
GACAGAGGGUGCAAACGUUGUUCGGAAUUACUGGGCGUAAAGCGCGUGUAGGCGGCUAUGCAAGUCGGAUGUGAAAGCCCUCGGCUCAACCGGGGAAGUGCACCCGAAACUGCAAAGCUAGAGUCUCGGAGAGGAUCGUGGAAUUCUCGGUGUAGAGGUGAAAUUCGUAGAUAUCGGGAGGAACACCGGUGGCGAAGGCGGCGACCUGGGUAGAUACUGACGCUGAGGUGCGAAAGCGUGGGGAGCAAACAGG